rnacentral:rRNA from 1 species
AAAUCUUGUAAUCCCUGUGAGACCACCUGUGGCGAAGGCGUCUUACCAGAACGGGUUCGACGGUGAGGGACGAAAGCUGGGGGCACGAACCGGAUUAGAUACCCGGGUAGUCCCAGCCGUAAACUAUGCUCGCUAGGUGUCAGGCAUGGCGCGACCGUGUCUGGUGCCGCAGGGAAGCCGUGAAGCGAGCCACCUGGGAAGUACGGCCGCAAGGCUGAAACUUAAAGGAAUUGGCGGGGGAGCACAACAACGGGUGGAGCCUGCGGUUUAAUUGGACUCAACGCCGGACAACUCACCGGGAACGACAGCAAUAUGUAGGCCAGGCUGAAGACCUUGCCUGAAUCGCUGAGAGGAGGUGCAUGGCC